AGAAGGGGAAGGAUAAUCCUUUUGGGGAUGAUGUAGUAUCCUGGAAAUUCAGGGCUGUUUCACCUUCUUGCUGAUCUGUUGCAAGGAGACAACUGAAGAUUGUGGAGCUAAGUUCUGGAGACAAAGUUUCUUCCACAAGGCCUGGUGGGGAGGAGGUUGGCUUUUUAAAAUCACCUCUCCUACAAUAGCUACUGAUUUACUGCACUUGUCUCCUGCCUACUCCAGCUCUUCUGGAUCCUUCAUGACUGCAAAGACCCAGGAAUAUUGCCUAAUGAAGUUGGUGAAUGGUAACAGACUGGCAGGGAAUCGGUUUCCUAUGGUGGAAUAUCUCUUACUAUCAGUAGCAGCUCAGGAGUGGCACCAAGGAAGCAAAUGGAGCUAUGAAAACUUGAGAGGAAACUCUGACCCAGUCUUUUGAAAGGAGCCUGCCAUUAACAGCUCUUUGCACAUCUCUCAGUAGUGCUAGCUCAGCUAUGCCAGCAGACAUGCUCACUAUGCAGUAGAAAGAGCACAAAUAUGACAUUGACGAUUGUGCUUUUUUUUUUUGCAAACAGAAACAAAUGUGAAUGCAAGUCUGCAGAUGCCUGUCUAUGUGUGUACAACCUUAUUUGCCCGCUGUCCUACAAGUGUUGUGAAUACCUACCAAUAAGGAAUUUGCAAUGAAUAAAUAAGUUGUUGUCGCCAAUAAUAUUUGCCAUUGAUAAAAAUAAAG